CAGCCGCCGCGGUAAAACAGAGGGUGCGAGCGUUAAUCGGAUUUACUGGGCGUAAAGCGUGCGUAGGCGGCUUUUUAAGUCGGAUGUGAAAUCCCUGAGCUUAACUUAGGAAUUGCAUUCGAUACUGGGAAGCUAGAGUAUGGGAGAGGAUGGUAGAAUUCCAGGUGUAGCGGUGAAAUGCGUAGAGAUCUGGAGGAAUACCGAUGGCGAAGGCAGCCAUCUGGCCUAAUACUGACGCUGAGGUACGAAAGCAUGGGGAGCAAACAGGAUUAGAUACCCGAGUAGUCCCUGUCUCUUAUAC
rnacentral:rRNA from 1 species